rnacentral:rRNA from 1 species
CAGUCGCCGCGGUAAAACGUAGGUGGCAAGCGUUGUCCGGAAUUAUUGGGCGUAAAGGGCUCGCAGGCGGUUUCUUAAGUCUGAUGCGAAAGCCCCCGGCUCAACCGGGGAGGGUCAUUGGAAACUGGGAAACUUGAGUGCAGAAGAGGAGAGUGGAAUUCCACGUGUAGCGGUGAAAUGCGUAGAGAUGUGGAGGAACGCCAGUGGCGAAGGCGACUCUCUGGUCUGUAACUGACGCUGAGGAGCGAAAGCGUGGGGAGCGAACAGGAUUAGAUACCCCCGUAGUCCCUGUCUCUUAUAC